rnacentral:rRNA from 1 species
UGGGGAAUUUUGGACAAUGGGCGCAAGCCUGAUCCAGCAAUGCCGCGUGCAGGAUGAAGGCNUUCGGGUUGUAAACUGCUUUUGUACGGAACGAAACGGUCUUUUCUAAUACAGAAGGCUAAUGACGGUACCGUAAGAAUAAGCACCGGCUAAUUACGUG